rnacentral:tRNA from 1 species
UUAUAUUUAGCAGAAUUAAACUACUUCCAUAGGUAUCAAAAACCUUUAUACAUCAUAUACUAAAAUAUA